UACUAGACCUUUGUGGAAGGAUGUCAUUAUGAACAAGGGAUGGGGCUUGGUGCAUCCUCCUGUUGUGUUUUAGCAGUUAAGCCUUUUUCAGCAUGCUAGUGGCCGUGGUCUUGUGUGAUGAGCUACCAUGCAUUUUGCUACAUGGUAAAUCUCUCUCGGUAUAACUGCACAUCCAGGGGUUUCCAGUAACUUGGUUGGAGACG